AUACGUAGGGGGCGAGCGUUGUCCGGAAUGAUUGGGCGUAAAGGGCGCGUAGGCGGCCUGUUAAGUCUGGAGUGAAAGUCCUGUUUUCAAGAUGGGAAUUGCUUUGGAUACUGAUGGGCUUGAGUGCAGGAGAGGUUAUCGGAAUUCCCGGUGUAGCGGUGAAAUGCGUAGAAAUCGGGAGGAACACCAGUGGCGAAGGCGGGUAACUGGACUGCAACUGACGCUGAGGCGCGAGAGUGUGGGGAGCAAACAGGAUUAGAUACCCUGGUAGUCCACACUGUAAACGAUGAAUGCUAGGUGUAAGAGGUAUCGACCCCUUUUGUGCCGGAGUUAACACAAUAAGCAUUCCGCCUGGGGAGUACGGCUGCAAGGUUGAAACUCAAAUGAAUUGACGGGG
rnacentral:rRNA from 1 species